GAUCAUGGCUCGGGACGAACGCUGGCGGCGUGCCUAAUACAUGCAAGUAGAACGCUGAAGGAGGAGCUUGCUUCUCUGGAUGAGUUGCGAACGGGUGAGUAACGCGUAGGUAACCUGCCUGGUAGCGGGGGAUAACUAUUGGAAACGAUAGCUAAUACCGCAUAAUAGUAGAUGUUGCAUGACAUUUGCUUAAAAGGUGCAAUUGCAUCACUACCAGAUGGACCUGCGUUG
rnacentral:rRNA from 1 species